AGCAUGUUGCUGGAAAUGAUAGGAUUCCAUGAAUUUUGAUGGCGCAAAAGUAUUCCAUUGUGUCUGUGUACAAGAGAUUCUUUAUCCCUUCAUCUGUGGAUAGACAGGACUGGGCAGAGGACCUGAAGACAUGAGGAUGAUGCACAGGUCAAAGAGAAGAUUCUCACCAUUGAUGAUGCACACGAAAGUUGUGGGCAGAUGCCCCCUGCCCAUGGAGGUGCGCUGCAGACAGAAGCAGCAGCAGAGGCCUGGCUUCCUGAGGAAUUGCUGCCAGUUUGAGGAAGGAAGAAAGUCCCGCCUACAAUGACCACCCCCCAGCCUGGAGGAAGCUCCAUGCCAGCAGCAUGGACCAGCAUGGGAGCCAGAGUCCUGCUAAUGCUGCAGCUCAUCACCCCCACUCAGAAGCCCAGCAGCCAUUGCCACAUCCCAUUUCCAGGGCCUCCUGCCCCCGUGCCUCCACGUGCCCAUCGACUUCUCCUCCUGUUUGCCCAAAGUAGGCAUGGAGGGAAUUUUUCAAGUCCACUUUUUGUAGGUAAGUCAAAACAUUACAAAAUAACCACUGUACACCAGGUCCAAUGCCCUUCCAAACUCACUCUUCUCUGACCCUUAAACAGUUGUCCCGCAUCUCCCAGACUCCACUGUACCUUGAUCAGCACGUCCCUCUUCACUGCAGUGUCUUUUUUGCAGAGUUCUUUCAGAUAUUUUGUGCUUUUGCUAUGGACAGAGGAAAGAAAAAAGGGUAAAUUUGGGAAUCACGGGGGAGAUUUGUGAGUUCCAAUCUCUUUUGUUUGAAAACCCAGUGAAUCUCAGCUUCCUGCA